CGUCCCUGCCUUCGCGCUUGUAGAACGCAGCUGCAAAAUAUUUAUGUUUUCUGAUAAAAAAAAAAAAAGAGGACUCAGAUUAAGAAGUGUUUUGGGUGCAAAGAAACUCUUCUGCCCUGAGCUGUGGUGUCUCUUCGUCUCUGGCUUGGCUGCGGUCGCUGUACCCCGGCGUUAGGACGUGGGUGCUGGUUCCCCACCAGUUUCCCUGGAUUUUUUCAGUCUACAUCUCCCUUUCAUGAUAGAGAGAGGGAGGGUUUGGCCGUGGGGCCGUGCAAGGAGCCUUUUGUGUGAGCGAGGCACCAGCUGCCGCCAGGAAAGCCCUCUCCUGCUGGUGGCGGUGGUGUGGCAGACCCCUCCGACAGCCGCCUUCGCUCGCGUGUCCGAAAGGAAAGCUGGGAGGAGAGAUUUCCUCCUGUCCUGCGGGAUGUGCUGGCUUACGGCGCUUUGAAACCCCAAGCUUGGGUUUUAAGGCUGGGAAAUAUGUGGUUAAGAGAGGAUGGUAGCCAUGUGGGAUGGGGCAGGCGGGGAGUUCAGCAUCUCUUAAUCCGGUUUCUCUGGGCCCCUGGAAGCCCCCGCGUGGGAUGUCCCACAGCUUUGGUUACGGGGCUUUUUUUUUCCGGUUGCUGCCAGCAAGGCGCGGGCAAAACGCUCCCACCGUCCUGGGUUCAAGCGGUGAGAAGGAUUUCUGGACCCGGCUUGGGUUUUUUGGGGCUCGCGGGGCUGCCUUUGGCUGUUGGCCACGGAGCUGGCUGGCGCGGGGAGUGGCGGGGGGGGCUUCCUCACCGCUGCCUCUGGGCCGGGCUGUAUUCCCUAGCUCUGGUUUUUCACCUCCAUCUCCAAACAGGUUUAUUCAGGAACGUUUCCCCAGAGCAUCGCCUUGCUCCGUGGUACCCGGUGCAUUUCACGCCCGCAAAAGCGGGGAGCGAGCGGUUCCCCGAGGUCCCACCUGGCCAGGGGACGUUCCUCCUCCAGCCCCCUCGGUUUGCCCUGGGGUGUGGAUUUGGCACCUUGGGUCCUCCCAAGACUUUGCUUAGGACAGAAAGUCUCCCUGCAAACCUCUUCCUAUAACUCGGCUGCCUUUUAGUACCCAGAAGCAGUCCCAGUAGCCAGCCCAGCAGCCGGCCAGUCUCACAGACCUACGCUUGUGACACCUUGGUUGUGGUCUGUCUCUCGAUUUUUAUUUUAUUCAUUGAUUAAAUUCAGCUAUUUUGCUCUUCUCCGUUAAUCUGAACCCGAACUGUGCCCUGGCUGGGCAGAAAGCCAUUUUUUCCCCUCGCGUACUGGCGUACCACUGGCUUCCUUCCAGCCCUGUGCAAUUUUUCCCUUUGCUCAAGGGAGCGCAGGGCUCGGUAAUUAUGUUUGCACGUCGGCGUGUGAGAUCCGGGGCCCUUUUAUCCAAACCUUUUGGUAAGCGCUUUUUAAAACCAUUAAAGCUUUGGUUUGUUCGUUCCCACCCGCUACAAAUUUUGCUGGAUUUCUCUGGGGCGGGCAAGGAGGGGAGGUUUUCCUCUGCUCUUCAUACAGGGGUGUUGGCAAACUUUGCACCCCCACCCCCCCUCCCCGGCUCCGGUACGGAACAAAAUUUUGCUGGAACUUCUGCGUCGCUGCUAACGUAACAACACCCCGUCGGGGGAACCGGGCGGUUUCAGACGUGUGUCCGUCGUGAUUCCUGAUUUUCACCUGCUGUGCCCCGUUUGCUUCCCUGUGACGUAUGAACUGCGAUGGCUUCCUUAAAAAAAAAAAAAAGAAAAAAAGAGAAAAAAAAAGAAAAAGGAGAAACUCUAGCGCGGGGGGGUUGCGUUAGCCCAGAGACCGGCCGGCUGACCCGUGAGCUGCGGGCAAGCAGCGGGGACAGGCUGGUGGCCAUCACUGCCGGCAACUGCCCCUUGUCACUGGCGCCCAUCGGCAAAGGCAGGAACCCGCUUUCCGGCACCACAGGCAGCGUGCUCCUGGGGCCGAGGUGGCGCUGCCGGAGCUCAGAGGUCUCCGUAGGGAUGUCGGCAAGCUCCCAGCUCGCGGCAGAGAAAGCCCUGGCCCCGUUGGGGCAAUGAAGCGCAACAAGACAAGAAGUGGACCUGGCCUUGCGGACCGCUCCCAGCCAGCCCAGCAUCCUGUAUCCCGGUAGCGGAGCUCGGGAUGACACAGUCCAUCCUCUCUGCUCCUCCUUCGGAAGAGCCGCAGGUCGGGCAGAAAAGAGCUGGGGACCAGGGACUGUCACAGGGUCCGGGCACCAGUUCUGUGCUGCAGCGUCUUCCAGGGAGCAGGAAAAGUGCUGCCACGACGAAAUGUAUUCCUUGUCUUUCCUUUGGUUUAAACUCUGGCCCCUGGCUCCCUCUGUCCCCUCCCACAAGCCCAGGAUUUCUGCCUCCGCUAGUCGCGUUUGGGAUUGCCACGUCGGAUGUCUGGGCUCUAUUCCCAUCCCACUGAGCUGCCCUAAGGGGUGGGAGUUGGUUAAAAUCAUCCCCAAAACCCGGCUCGUUUGUGCCACCUUAGCUCUGCUUGCCGUGAAGCUGUGGCCUUCCCUGCCUGUCGCAGCUCCAGACGGGGCUGGUGGCAGGAGCUGCCACCAAAAGUCAUCUCCCCACCAGGAGUGCCUCACCCCCCACCCCAACCCCCGCCACGGGAGCUCGCGUCAUGAUGAUCCUGCUGGAAACUAAACCUGGUUAGAGCAUAAAACCAGUUCUGGUCCGGAUCAGUCCCCUGCCGCGGUUUGGCCCAGGUCCCCCAGGUCCGUGGCUGGACGUGGGAGAGGGCAGCGAAGGGGCAGCCCGUCUUUAUCUUGACUUGCUUCCUGGGGCAAAAAUAGAGCUUGAGGAGACACGCACAGGUCAGAAACGAGCCGGCAAGUCUUUUCGCGGAGUUGGAGGGAUUCUCUUUCCCACUGGUGUAUUUUAAUCCAGGGAAGCAUUUGCACUGUAAGUAUUUUGAUACUGUUCGUUUUGCCUGGUGGUCGAAUCCGUUAAGUUGCGCUUCUGGCUUCCGUCAGCAGCUUCGCACAACAAUAAAUCCGGGUUAAAGCAAA